rnacentral:rRNA from 1 species
UGGAUAAGCGCUGAAAGCAUCUAAGCGCGAAGCCAACUUCAAGAUAAGAUUUCCCACCGCAAGGGUAAGACCCCAGAAAGACUAUCUGGUUGAUAGGUCGAAGGUGUAAGUGCAGCAAUGUAUUUAGCUUAUCGAUACUAAUAGGUCGAGGACUUGACCAAUAUUUAUU